CCCCAGUAAACGGCGGCCGUAACUAUAACGGUCCUAAGGUAGCGAAAUUCCUUGUCGGGUAAGUUCCGACCCGCACGAAAGGCGUAACGAUUUGGGCACUGUCUCAACAACAGACUCGGUGAAAUUGGAAUUCCGGUGAAGAUGCCGGAUACCUGCGACAGGACGGAAAGACCCCAUGGAGCUUUACUGUAGCUUGACAUUGGGUCUUGGUACUACAUGUACAGGAUAGGUGGGAGGCUUUGAAACCAGGACGACAGUUUUGGCGGAGCCAUCCUUGGGAUACCACCCUUGUAGUACUGGGACUCUAACCAUAGGCCAUGAAUCUGGUCUUGGGACACUGUCAGGUGGGCAGUUUGACUGGGGCGGUCGCCUCCCAAAAGG
rnacentral:rRNA from 1 species